rnacentral:rRNA from 1 species
UACGGGGGGGGCAAGCGUUGUUCGGAAUUACUGGGCGUAAAGGGCUCGUAGGUGGCCAACUAAGUCGGACGUGAAAUCCCUCAGCUUAACUGGGGAACUGCGUCCGAUACUGGAUGGCUUGAGUUUGGGAGAGGGAUGCGGAAUUCCAGGUGUAGCGGUGAAAUGCGUAGAUAUCUGGAGGAACACCGGUGGCGAAGGCGGCAUCCUGGACCAACACUGACACUGAGGAGCGAAAGCCGGGGGAGCAAACGGG